rnacentral:rRNA from 3 species
UUUUAAUUGAAGGCUUGUAUGAAAGGUUGGACAAGGAGUUAGCUGUCUUUAUUUUUGGAUUUGAAUUUGUCUUUUAAGUGAAAAGACUUAAAUUAUUUUAAGGGACGAUAAGACCCUAUAAAUCUUUACAUUAAUGUAGUUUUAUUUAAAAUUUUGAUGUUAUGUAUAAUAGGAGGAUAAGAUGUUGUAUUGGGGUGAUAAGGAUAAAUAAUAAACUGUUCUAAUAAUAAACAAAGAUGUUUGAAAUAAUAAAGAUCCUUUUUAGAGAUUGAAAGUUUAAGUUACUUUAGGGAUAACAGCGUUAUUUUUUUUGAGAGUUCUAAUCGAAAAAAAAGUUUGCGACCUCGAUGUUGAAUUAAAAUUUCUUUAUGGUGUAGUUGUUAUAAGAGAGAGUCUGUUCGACUUUUAAAAUUUUACGUGAUCU